UGCAUUUAAGCGUAAAGAAUAUUACAGGGACAAUUUUUAAAGUUGUAGACUCCGUGGAGUAUGUUCUUGAGGCCAAGGGAAACAGAACUUUUCAAUAUGUUCCAAUACUUGAGUCUUUACAGAAUCUACUUGGUCAGAAUGACCUACUAUACAAAGUGGUCGAAAGUCACAGUUCUCAACAGUUAAGAAGAGAUGUCCAUCAGUACAGGUCAAUUCAGGAUGGUCAGUUUUUUAAAGCAAAUAAUUUCUUCUCAGAUGAGUUGAGGAUAUCUGUGUGCUUAUAUGUCGAUGACUUUGAAAUUUGUAACCCUCUCGGGACAUCAAGAAAGAAGCACAAGAUAUGUGCAAUCUACUGGAUUUUGGGUAAUGUGCCAUCCAUGUUUCAGUCAACUUUGUCUUCAAUUUAUCUUGUCGUUUUGUGCAAAACAGAAGACAUGAUAACAUACGGAUUUGAGAAAAUCUUGCGACCUCUUUUGCAAGAUCUCCAAACUUUGGAACAGCAAGAAAAGUUUGACAGGAUGGGUACCCCAGCCAAACUUCUAGUAAUCUUGGGAGAAAAUAAUUGUGAAAGGUUAAAUCUCCCAACUGGUAUACCAAACUCGUUGAAUGACCUUAAAAGAGAAAUCCAAACACAACUGAGAGUACUUGAAGAUUUUCGACUUCAAUUCAAAGAUCCGGACUUUAAUGAUUUUGUCAACCUCACUUACAACUUCAGACAUACAGGAUAAAGCUACACUCAAGGUCAUUCAGUUGCCUUCAUCUACAAGUUUCCCAACUGCUUCAUCUGUGCCAGAAAUAAAUGAGACAUCUUCAGUAUCAUCCUGUGACACAGACAUAAUCUCAUCCUCACAGUCAUCUUUACUUUCAACUCCAGAAUCUGUGUCCUCAGUUAGAAGUCAGGCAUGGCCUGAACGUUUCCCAAUACCACAGUUUAGUUUUGAUGCUGAUAUUCAACUGCAAAAAGCUCAACUUGCUUAUCAGACUGAUGGUACUGUCCUGAGCCCCAAUGCCAAGCUGAAGUCUGAUAUUUUGGAUGCUUUAGCUUCAGAAAUAAUAAAGUACAAGGUAUACCCUACAAGUGCAGAUCUUGAUGAUGUUGCUGCUGCUUUGGUACAGAAGCACCCGUGCCUCAAAGAAAAAGGCUCUGUGAGCGGCUACUAUGGCUGGAAAAUAAGUCUGAAAUAUAAAAUGGCAAACUAGAGAACAAAAUUGGGGAACAUAGAAUGUUGUGAGUUAAACAUCAACUCCCACAAGCGAAACGGAUCCAUGGGAAGUCCCAACCAAGUGAAGAAACCUAGAAAAGCCGAGGUUAAUUACUGUCCAGAUUACCCAUUGGGUGAAACAAAGGAUACGCUUGAAAAGCAAAGGAUGACACUACUGUCUGAGGUGACUAAAAGAAACAAUGAGCAGGUUAUCAAGGUCCUGAUGGAGAGAACAUUUGCGCUCCGGAGGCAUGAGGUGGUAGAAGAUUUGCCGUUCAUCGUUGAGUUAAGGAACAGAUGGCCAGCACUCUUUACUGAGAGAGAGGUAUCUGCAGAAUUCAGUAGGAUUACAACUAUCCCUUUGGUGUCCAAAUUUAUGGGUCAGCUGGAUCAUUUCUCAACCCAGCUCCUCAGAAUCUUCAGAAAGAAAGGAGGAAGAGCAACACAGAAGAUGACAAACAUCCUGUCAGUUAUGGAUCGGAAUGACACCAUCGAAAAAAACCGUGAAUUCAUCUUGAAAGCCCUUACUGUUUACAUGAACGAAGACCCCUCAAACCUUGUGAAGGAGUACUUGCCCAAACUUCAAUGCGCAACACCACCCUAGGCAAUUAUGUCGUCGUACAUGAAGGGGCAGAUGCUACAGACCCUUACGAAGAUGUUGCCAUUAUCAUUGAAGGCGUCCAAAUACUUGAAGACCUGAACAAUGUGGCAAAUGCUUGUUCUGUGAUGCUUGGUCUAAUUUAAGCUUUAAACUUGGCUUACCCACAAGACCUGAGGUACACUUUUGAAGUAUUUCAAGAGAUUUUUAUGGAGCUAGAUCAGGGGUGUCCAAACUACAGCCCGUGGGCCAACUGCGGCCCGCCAUCCAUUUUUAAUUGGCCCGUAUCAAAGUCUAAAAAUAUAAUGGACUAUGGCCCACUGUAUUGCACUUCUUAGUUUAAAGACGAGGUGGCACUAUUGUUGUCUUGAACAAGGCAGCGUCUCCACAAAGCAAGCAAUAGAAGAAAAAAAUUGCUCAGGGUCACCAGAAAUGCGGGAACUGAAGAGACGCAAGAUUGCAAGCGAGUGCAGAAAAUUUCAGACUCGGUGGAAAAAUGAAUAUUUUUUCAUAGAAACCAAGGGGAAGUGUGUUUGUUUGAUUUGUAAUGAGAGUGUUGCCCUGAUGAAAGAGUACAAUGUACGACGGCAUUAUUAAACGAAACAUCAGACCUGUCGCUGAGCGGAAAGAGAAGGCAAAGCAAAUGGCAGCUAGCCUGCUAAUGCAGCAGCAGUUUUUUUUUCCGUGCUAACAAAGCUCAAGAAAAUGCAACAAUGGCCAGUUAUGAAGUAGCUCAACUCAUUGCCUUACAACGGGAACCUUUCUCAGACGGUGACUUCAUCAAACAGUGCCUCACUAAAGUCGUGGGAAUAAUGUGCCCGAAGAAAAUGCAGGAUUUCAACGAUGUUAGUAUGUCCAGAAAUACGGUUGUGCGGCGAAUUGAAGACUUGUCGGCUAACUUAAAACAGCAAGUGUCAGAUAAAGCUUGUGCUUUCGAUUUUUACUCGAUUGCAUGUGAUGAGAGCACAGAUGCCACGGACACUGCACAGCUGUGAAUUUUUUUGCGGGGAGUUGAUGAUAAUUUUUGCAUUACGGAGGAACUGCUCGACCUUCGGAGUCUAAAGGGGACAACAACUGGGAAGGACAUGUUUUGAAGCUGUGUCAGAUGCAAUUGACCAGGCUGGACUUAAAUGGGACAAGCUGUGUGGAAUUACAACGGAUGGGGCUCCAGCAAUGACAGGCGAGCGCAAAGGAACGGCCUCUAUGGUGAGUGCCAAGGUGCCGGAGAGCGGAGGUGAGGCUGUCAAAAUGCACUGUAUCAACCACCAAGAAGCCCUCUGUGCCAAGAUAAUCCAGCUUGGCGAUGUGAUGAACACAGUUGUGAAAACUGUCAACAUAAUUCGGGCACGAGGGCUUUACCACAGAGAAUUUCAAGCGUUCCUCUCUGAUGUCGAUGCUGAAUACGGGGACCUACUCUACCACUCUGAAGUGCGCUGGCUCAGUCGCGGCUCCGUGCUGCAGCGGUUUUAUUCCCCGAGAUCAAAUAUCGACAAGUUUUUGAAAGAAAAGGGCAGACCUCUCCAUGAGAUCAGUGACCCUUUAUGGUUGGCAGACCUGGCUUUUUUAGUUGAUCUCAUUGAUCAUCUCAACACCCUGAACAAGAGACUACAAGGCAAAGAGCAGCUGGUACCACAGCUGCAUGCGCACAUGAAAGCAUUCCGUGCGAAGCUCCGUCUCUUCGAGUCACAACUGCGCAACUUCAAUGUAGCGCACUUCCCCACGCUGACCCAAAUCAAAUGCGCAUUUCCAAAUGCCAAGCUCUCUGCAAAAAUGGGAGAAUAUGUGUCUGUGAUCACAUCUCUCAUGACAGAAUUCAGUCAGCGCUUCCAAGAUUUUUCUGUCAUUGAGAAGGAAAUCACACUGUUUGUGGCUCCGUUUUCAAUGGAUGCAAAAGAAGUAGAGGAGAGUCUGCAAUUAGAACUGAUCGAAAUUCAGUGUGAUGAUUCUCUUAAGAAUCAGCAUUAGCUUCUCUCCCUACCUGACUUCUACCGGAGCUUGGAAAAGGCCAAGUUUCCUCUGAUGAGACGACUCGCAAAACGAAUGAUGAGUCUGUUCGGCUCAAUAUACAUAUGUGAGCAGACAUUCUCUCUGUUAACGCUGAACAAAAGCAGACUGAGAACCAGAACGACCGCCAGCCAUCUCCGUGACGUCCUUCGCAUCUCAACCACCAAACGUACUCCUGACCUGCCGGCUAUCCUUCAGACCAAAGCGCAGCAUCACUGCUCCCACUGAGCGUAACAUUCUUCCCAUUACAGGACAAUGAAGGGGGAUCAGCACCCUAAGAACCAAUCUGAGGCUGUCACUGAGAGAAUGACCUGCCAACCUUUUUGUAAAAAAUAAAAUGAAAAUCUACUAAUGGAGAGCUAUGAUCGAGGCUUUUAUUCUUCAAAUAUGUUCAAUUAUCAAACGUAAUUUACCUGCAUUUGAUUGAUUUUGCCAAUAUUAGUGCAUGAAAAGUGAGGCAGUAUCCCUCACGUCUAGUGAGUGGCCCAGUCCUUCGUAUAUUUUUCUGUAUGUGGCCCUCGGGAAAAGAAGUUUGGACACCCCUGCCCUACUCUGUCAGUAGAACUCAUCUGGCUUCCUUCUGCGAGCACCCAGUACCGUGCCCCUAGUGGCCCACUGAAUGGUACUACACGGUGUGUUAGCCUCUGCGUCCAUUCCUACGGCACUUGGCGUUACGCGCUGUAGUGAUCCAUUUAACAUCACGAUACAUGAUCCAUUUAACAUCAUUAAUUGACUCAAUGACACCUGAGUAUAUAGAGGACGGCAGAGCUUUGGGGGGAAACUUGUCACCAGCUCACUUGGCUGUUUUACUUCCCACUUGUCUGUGGUUCCUCGCACCCCUUGAGUCGUUCUGUCUCAUCGAGACUGAGUGAAUCCCGUGUGUGGCAGCGCAUUGCAACUUGGAGUUAUUAUUACUGCAGCUCUGUGAAUUUUUACGGCACACGGAUUCGGAUUGUCAAACCUUAAAAAUAGAAUCCAGAUUCGCAGUCAUCCCAUUCCUUGCUCUUGCCAAUGAUGAUACUGAUUCCAUAUACAGUGAGGGAAAAAAAGUAUUUGAUCCCCUGCUGAUUUUGUACGUUUGCCCACUGACAAAGAAAUGA